rnacentral:rRNA from 1 species
UCCGGAGAGGGAGCCUGAGAGAUGGCUACCACAUCCAAGGAAGGCAGCAGGCGCGUAAAUUGCCCGAAUCCUGACACAGGGAGGUAGUGACAAGAAAUAACAAUACAGGGCUACAUCUAGUCUUGUAAUUGGAAUGAGUACAAUUUACAUCUCUUCACGAGGAUCAAUUGGAGGGCAAGUCUGGUGCCAGCAGCCGCGGUAAUUCCAGCUCCAAUAGCGUAUAUUAAAGUUGUUGCAGUUAGAACGCUCGUAGUCGGAUUUCGGGGCGGGCCGACCGGUCUGCCGAUGGGUACGCACUGGUCGGCGCGUCCUUCCUUCCGGAGACCGCCUCUGUUCUUAACUGAAUGGGUGCGGGAGACGGAUCGUUUACUUUGAAAAAAUCAGAGUGUUUCAAGCAGGCAGCUCGCUCUUGCAUGGAUUAGCAUGGGAUAAUGAAAUAGGACUUUGGUGCUAUUUUGUUGGUUUCGAACACCGAAGUAAUGAUUAAAAGGGACAGUCAGGGGCACUCGUAUCCCGCCGAGAGAGGUGAAAUUCUCAGACCAGCGGAAGACGAACCACUGCGAAAGCAUUUGCCAGGGAUGUUUUCACUGAUCAAGAACGAAAGUUAGGGGAUCGAAGAGGAUCAGAUACCCUCGUAGUCUUAACCAUAAACCAUGCCGACUAGGGAUUGGGGGAUGUUCACUGAUUGACUCCCUCAGCACCUUACGGGAAACUAAAGUCUUUGGGUUCCGGGGGGAGUAUGGUCGCAAGGCUGAAACUUAAAGGAAUUGACGGAAGGGCACCACCAGGAGUGGAGCCUGCGGCUUAAUUUGAC